GUUGUUGGGUAGGGGAGCGUUCUGUAAGCCUGUGAAGGUGUACUGUGAGGUAUGCUGGAGGUAUCAGAAGUGCGAAUGCUGACAUAAGUAACGAUAAAGCGGGGGAAAAGCCCGCUCGCCGGAAGACCAAGGGUUCCUGUCCAACGUUAAUCGGGGCAGGGUGAGUCGACCCCUAAGGCGAGGCCGAAAGGCGUAGUCGAUGGGAAACAGGUUAAUAUUCCUGUACUUGGUGUUACUGCGAAGGGGGGACGGAGAAGGCUAUGUUGGCCGGGCGACGGUUGUCCCGGUUUAAGCGUGUAGGCUGGUUUUCCAGGCAAAUCCGGAAAAUCAAGGCUGAGGCGUGAUGACGAGGCACUACGGUGCUGAAGCAACAAAUGCCCUGCUUCCAGGAAAAGCCUCUAAGCAUCAGGUAACAUCAAAUCGUACCCCAAACCGACACAGGUGGUCAGGUAGAGAAUACCAAGGCGCUUGAGAGAACUCGGGUGAAGGAACUAGGCAAAAUGGUGCCGUAACUUCGGGAGAAGGCACGCUGAUAUGUAGGUGA
rnacentral:rRNA from 1 species